rnacentral:rRNA from 1 species
UACGUAGGCAGCAAGCGUUGUUCGGAGUUACUGGGCGUAAAGGGUGUGUAGGCGGUUGUUUAAGUUUGGUGUGAAAUCUCCCGGCUCAACUGGGAGGGUGCGCCGAAUACUGAAUGACUAGAGUGCGGGAGAGGAAAGUGGAAUUCCUGGUGUAGCGGUGAAAUGCGUAGAUAUCAGGAGGAACACCGGUGGUGUAGACGGCUUUCUGGACCGUAACUGACGCUGAGACACGAAAGCCAGGGGAGCGAACGGG